rnacentral:rRNA from 1 species
UAUGGGAAGUUAGGACUGUUACUUUGAAAAAAUUAGAGUGUUUAAAGCAGGCUUUAGCUUGAAUACAUUAGCAUGGAAUAAUGAAAUAGGACGUUCGAACCUAUUUUAUUGGUUUCUAGGAUCAACGUAAUGAUUAAUAGGGAUAGUUGGGGGCAUUAGUAUUCAAUUGUCAGAGGUGAAAUUCUUGGAUUUAUUGAAGACUAACUACUGCGAAAGCAUUUGCCAAGGAUGUUUUCAUUAAUCAAGAACGAAAGUUAGGGGAUCGAAGACGAUCAGAUACCGUCGUAGUCUUAACCAUAAACUAUGCCGACUAGGGAUCGGAUGAUGUUAAUUUUUAAUGACUCAUUCGGCGCCUUACG